GAAGUAAAAGACGUGUCUGAGGGUCAAGGUGUGCAAGUGCGUCUUCCAAACAAAGGCAAAUGUUAUGGUUUUGGUUAUCCAACACCUGCCUGAUAAGCGCACAAGUGUGGGAAUAUAUCGGCUACAGAAAGAAGACAGACGGCCGUGACUUGGAGGAGGAAGGUUAGCCGACCUGCAAGACCUGCUCACGAAGAGUGGCUGCAAGAGGAAACAAUACUUCAAAUCUGAUUUCGCAUCUCCGGGGGCGCCAGCUAUCAGUCUGCCAAAUUCAAGGUCAUAUGCUACCUUUCCCUGUGUAACUGGCUCAAGGUCCCUCAUGGCCCCCCACCCCCACACUCAUGGGGCCCGCAGCCUACAUGUGUGGCAGCCAUCAAGCUUACACCAACAGAUAACAUCAUUGCAAUCCUGACAGAGGCACAGACAGUGAGCGAUGGUUUCCCCCAUGUAACAUCUGGCCCACAGAGAAUGGGAGAGCUUUAACACACACAGAAAAGGGAGUUUCCCAGUGUUUUCUCCUAGCGUCUACAUGUUUGUAUGGUACCUGCACAGUCAAAACAAAACAGAAAUACCUCUUAAUGAUAUUUAGGCUUUUUAAUGACCUCCAUACAUGGAAACAUGGUGGAAAACAGCACGUCACAGAAAUUGGGAUACCAUCAGAGCCACCAUAGUAACAUGAUAAACAUCAUGCCUGCCAUUAGUGGGAACAAGGCAAAUAAAGUGAGUCACUGAUUCUCAUUUUUCAUCCCUCUAUCCAUCCUGCAUCAGCAACAUAUACACUAAAACAAACAAGUGGGCCAAAAAGGACUGGGUGGGUUUGUGCUUCAGUUUUCAACCUUGGCUUUGCUCUUGUGAAAAUUUGGUGGGGGAAAAUGUGAGCUGAGGACGGUCACGCCCAGUCAGUGUCAGGUGAGUCAUUUUAUGUGGCAGUUCAGGUUGCAGUCAGUCCAAACCGCCCGCGUCUUCUUGUGGCCAGCACAGGUCAAAUGCUGGUUGGAAAGAGAAGGGAAAAAUCGCGGUAGACUUAAUUCAUCCUCGUCUGUGACAGGUGUGUUUUCAUGCUUUUUGGGUUUUUUUUUUUUCGUUUACCUAAAUCCCUCUUUUCUGGACAUGAGGUGAGUCCCUGGUGGCACUGCCAGAUGACUGCAUCUGUCACUGUGAGACUUUCAAGGAGUCUUCAUCUUGUGAUUUAGACAAACUGCUGAAAUGUUUUGACAGAAAAUGAGGUAGAUCGAAAUCAUUUCCCAUUACCGCUCUCAUAGCCGUGCAGUUAGAAGCCGUUCACAGUCCGUUAUGACAGCUCACCUCCAUCGCAGUUUUCAUAGAGGUGGGUGGGCAGGUGUGACAGUUUACCAGGUUUUUCUAGCAGGGUGGUGGGCUAAAUCUGUUUUUACCUUAAAUUUAAGCCUCUGAUUUACAAAAUGUGAUCAUUUGCUAAUGUUAAGAAAGUUGUGACGUUGACCCCUGAGGUCAUGUUGAGACAGAAUUCAGAGCUUUUCAUUUAUGGUGGCCAAUCAAACUGUGCAAAUACACAUUCUUGGUAGAUUAACUUGUUACACAAACAAUGUAUGUCCACUUUUGUUUGUUUUUGUUAGUCUAACUUUCCAGUGUUGUAAAGUCUUGUAUCAUGGUAUUAUGAAUUGCUGUGCAAAGUUUUGGUGUCUGAUAAACCUUAAAACUAGUGGACCUGUUGCUAAAACUACUCUUCUUGAUCCAGUAGUCCCACUGGUACCAGAAAAAACACACCCCCAACACCAUAGCUCCUUAGCUCCUUUAGUCCUGACUAGACA